rnacentral:rRNA from 1 species
UACGUAGGGUGCGAGCGUUGUCCGGAAUUACUGGGCGUAAAGAGCUCGUAGGUGGUUCGGUAAGUCGGGUGUUAAACCCCCAGGCUCAACCUGGGGACGCCACUCGAUACUGCUGUGACUAGAGUCCGGUAGGGGAGCGUGGAAUUCCUGGUGUAGCGGUGAAAUGCGCAGAUAUCAGGAGGAACACCAGCGGCGAAGGCGGCGCUCUGGGCCGGUACUGACACUGAGGAGCGAAAGCGUGGGUAGCAAACAGG